rnacentral:rRNA from 1 species
GAUGAACGCUGGCGGCGUGCCUAAUACAUGCAAGUCGAGCGAACGGACGAGAAGCUUGCUUCUCUGAUGUUAGCGGCGGACGGGUGAGUAACACGUGGAUAACCUACCUAUAAGACUGGGAUAACUUCGGGAAACCGGAGCUAAUACCGGAUAAUAUUUUGAAUCGCAUGGUUCAAAAGUGAAAGACGGUCUUGCUGUCACUUAUAGAUGGAUCCGCGCUGCAUUAGCUAGUUGGUAAGGUAACGGCUUACCAAGGCAACGAUGCAUAGCCGACCUGAGAGGGUGAUCGGCCACACUGGAACUGAGACACGGUCCAGACUCCUACGGGAGGCAGCAGUAGGGAAUCUUCCGCAAUGGGCGAAAGCCUGACGGAGCAACGCCGCGUGAGUGAUGAAGGUCUUCGGAUCGUAAAACUCUGUUAUUAGGGAAGAACAUAUGUGCAAGUAACUGUGCACAUCUUGACGGUACCUAAUCAGAAAGCCACGGCUAACUACGUG